rnacentral:rRNA from 1 species
AUGUUUGGGUCCCGGGUCCAGGAUGGGGUGGAGAUGCAGCAGCGGCGGACGACCAACAGGAUCUUUCCCGAUGAGAGGCAGGAUCAAUCCAAGAUGCCGUUUCAAGCCGGACGGGUCGACAGAUUCGCUGCCAACAGGAUAGACCCAAAGACCCUCGAGAAGCUCAAAUUGAUGAAUGAGGGCAACGUGCCAUGGCACAGCCGCAUCCUCGACCCCAGAAGCAGCGUGCUGCUGACAUGGAACAGGGUGUACCUGGUGGCCUGUCUCUUCGCGCUCUUCAUCGACCCUUUCUUCUACUACCUGCCAUUUGUCAGAGUCAUGGACCAAAGCACUGGUGUUUCGUGUGUUGCCGAGGACCAACGAUUGAGAAAUACUAUGACCGUUCUGCGGACACUCGCUGACUUGUUUUAUGUGCUCAACAUUGCGAUAAAGUUCCAUACUGCAUAUGUAGACCCAAAGUCCAGAGUCCUAGGGAAGGGAGAGCUUAUUGUGGAUCUAAAGAAGAUUCAAAGAAGAUACGUCACAUCAGAUCUCUGUAUAGACAUACUUGCAGCCAUACCACUUCCACAGGUUACUGUUUGGUUAAUCAUGCCUGGGAUUAAACGCUCAGAUUAUAACAUCCAAAACACUACAUAUGCUCUUAUUAUUUUGGUUCAGUAUGUCUUAAGAAUGUAUCUCGUUGUACCUUUAAGCAAUCAAAUCAUCAAAGCUGCCGGAGUAGUUGCAAAGUCAGCCUGGGGAGGAGCAGCAUACAAUCUUCUGCUCUACAUGCUUGCAAGUCAUAUUACCGGGGCAAUAUACUAUCUUCUCUCCAUUGAACGGCAGAUUACAUGUUGGAAUCAGCAGUGCCUUGCUGAGUCGAGCAAUGCGUCUUGUAACAUUGGGUUUAUAAGUUGCGAGAAUACUGGUUCGAGGAGUUAUCUUGAGUGGCAAAGUAAAACGCAGAUAUUUAACAACUGUGAUGCCACUGCUGAUCCUCCAAAAUUUAAUUACGGAAUGUUCUCGAGUGCAUUGACUAAGGGUGCUGUCUCAACUUCAUUCCAAGAGAAGUACUUCUAUUGUCUGUGGUGGGGCUUGUUGCAACUUAGUUCAAGCGGAAAUCCUCUUCAAACAAGUGCAUUCAUCGUAGAGAACAUAUUUGCUAUUGCAAUUGGAGCUAUCAGUCUCAUACUCUUUGCUCAGCUGAUUGGUAAAAUGCAGACAUACUUGCAGUCUGUUAGCAAAAGGCUUGAAGAGUGGAGGUUGAGGCAACGGGACAUGGAGGAGUGGAUGAGACAUCACCGGCUCCCACCCGACCUUCAAGAACGCGUCCAGCGGUUUGUUCAAGUUAAAUGGCUUGCAACGCGUGGAGUGGAAGAGGAAUCCAUCUUGCAAGCUUUGCCUGCUGAUAUACGUCGGGAUGUACAGCGCCAUCUUUGUUUGGAUCUUGUUCGACGUGUCCCUUUCUUCGCUGAGAUGGACGACCAACUCCUGGACGCCAUCUGCGAGCGGCUGGUGUCGUUCCUGUGCCCGGAGGGCACAUACAUUUCUCGCGAGGGCGAUCCUGUGAGCGAGAUGCUCUUCAUAAUCCGCGGCAAGCUGGAGAGCUCCACGACCAACGGAGGCCGGAGCAACUUCUUCAACUCCAUCCUCCUACGACCUGGUGAAUUCGCCGGUGAGGAGCUGCUCACCUGGGCCCUGCUGCCAAAGACCAACAUCCACUUCCCGCUCUCCACAAGGACCGUCCGGAGCCUGACGGAGGUGGAGGCCUUCGCGCUGUGUGCCGAGGACCUCAAGUUCGUGGCGAACCAGUUCCGGAGGCUCCACAGCAAGAAGCUCCAGCACACGUUCCGGUUCUACUCCCACCACUGGAGGACGUGGGGCGCCUGCUUCAUCCAGGCGGCGUGGCGGCAGCACCAGCGGAGGAAGCUGUCGGAGAGCCUGAGCCGGUGGGAGUCCUACUCGUGGUGGUCGGAGGAGCACCCGGCCGCCGAUAAGCCUAAGCAGGAGGGCACCUCGAGGACCGCCGCCGAGAUGCACAAGUUUGGCUCCGCGUCCAGGAGGUUCCGCGCCGACGACACCAUGAUCCGCAGGCUGCAGAAGCCCGACGAGCCCGAUUUCUCCGCCGACCAUUUCGACUGA